UACGUAGGGUGCGAGCGUUAAUCGGAAUUACUGGGCGUAAAGGGUGCGCAGGCGGCUCUGCAUGUCGGGCGUGAAAUCCCCGGGCUUAACCUGGGAAUUGCGUCCGAAACUAUGGAGCUGGAGUGUGGCAGAGGGAGGUGGAAUUCCACGUGUAGCGGUGAAAUGCGUAGAGAUGUGGAGGAACACCGAUGGCGAAGGCAGCCUCCUGGGCCAACACUGACGCUCAUGCACGAAAGCGUGGGGAGCAAACAGG
rnacentral:rRNA from 1 species